CCUCAUUCAUUUAUUCAGGCAACCAUUCAGUGUUUACCGAGCCAACUCUGUGUUCCGGAUACAGCCCUGACCAUUCGGUCCGAGGAGGUGUCAGUAAACAAACAAGGUCGUUCCUUUGGGUUAGCUUUAGAAUUCCUUGGGCUUGGAGGCGGAAAGAAGAGAUCUUAGCGAUCUCCACAGUUUCCUCAUCUGUGAAAUAGAGAUAAUAGAAAUUCCUACCUCAUAGGGUUGUGGUGACGGCUCAGUAGAAACCGGGUGACGCUCCUGCUUGCAGCGUUUGACUUGUGGCUUAGCGUCAUUACCCGCUUACGUUGGCAGAAAACAUGUUGUCAAGUAAUAACAAACCUUCCCAGAGGUUACGUUUAUUAGCGUCCUGUCCUUACUCCUUCCCCGCAGGGGUCUGGAGGUCGGUACUUAGUUUCCCUACUUUAGGGAUGAAAAUAGGGAGG
rnacentral:lncRNA from 1 species